UGGGGAAUUUUGGACAAUGGGCGCAAGCCUGAUCCAGCCAUGCCGCGUGCGGGAAGAAGGCCUUCGGGUUGUAAACCGCUUUUGUCAGGGUAGAAAUCUUCUGAGUUAAUACCUCGGGAGGAUGACGGUACCUGAAGAAUAAGCACCGGCUAACUACGUGCCAGCAGCCGCGGUAAUACGUAGGGUGCAAGCGUUAAUCGGAAUUACUGGGCGUAAAGCGUGCGCAGGCGGUUUUGUAAGACAGAGGUGAAAUCCCCGGGCUCAACCUGGGAACUGCCUUUGUGACUGCAAGGCUUGAGUGCGGCAGAGGGGGAUGGAAUUCCGCGUGUAGCAGUGAAAUGCGUAGAUAUGCGGAGGAACACCGAUGGCGAAGGCAAUCCCCUGGGCCUGCACUGACGCUCAUGCACGAAAGCGUGGGGAGCAAACAGGAUUAGAUACCCUGGUAGUCCACGCCCUAAAACGAUGUCAACUGGUUGUUGGGAAGGUUCCUUCUCAGUAACGUAGCUAACGCGUGAAGUUGACCGCCUGGGGAGUACGGCCGCAAGGUUG
rnacentral:rRNA from 1 species